GCGCCCGUAGCUCAACGGAUAGAGCGUCUGACUACGGAUCAGAAGGUUAGGGGUUCGAAUCCCUUCGGGCGCG
rnacentral:tRNA from 2 species